GUGGGGAAUAUUGCACAAUGGGGGAAACCCUGAUGCAGCGACGCCGCGUGAGCGAAGAAGUAUUUCGGUAUGUAAAGCUCUAUCAGCAGGGAAGAAACAUGACGGUACCUGAGUAAGAAGCACCGGCUAAAUACGUGCCAGCAGCCGCGGUAAUACGUAUGGUGCAAGCGUUAUCCGGAUUUACUGGGUGUAAAGGGAGCGCAGGCGGUGCGGCAAGUCUGAUGUGAAAACCCGGGGCUCAACCCCGGGACUGCAUUGGAAACUACCGAACUAGAGUGUCGGAGAGGUAAGUGGAAUUCCUAGUGUAGCGGUGAAAUGCGUAGAUAUUAGGAGGAACACCAGUGGCGAAGGCGGCUUACUGGACUGUAACUGACGUUGAGGCUCGAAAGCGUGGGGAGCAAACAGGA
rnacentral:rRNA from 1 species